rnacentral:lncRNA from 1 species
AACUCGUACUAUCCCUUUGCACAGCCAGCAGGUUAACCAGGUUCAGUCACUUCACUCCAGUGCAGUGAAGUGCAGGCAGGACUAAAUACAGGCCUAAGCUUAGUUUCAGGUUUAUCUUCAGUUCAGAGUUCAGAACUUCAGACACAGGUUGAGAAAGAAAAGAAGCAGCAAUGUCAUCUGCAACUGUGCUCAAAUCCUCUUUCCUUCCCAAGAAGGCCGCCGAGUGGGGCGGCACGCGUCAGCUCCCCGUCCCCCGCCCCCCGCCCGCCGUUCGUCUCCAUGGUCGUCCGCGCCGGCGCCUACGACGACGAGCUCAUCAAAACCGCCGUAAAAACCCAAUAAUCUUCAAUCCAGUCUUGAAUUGUUCUGGUGCUUGAGAGAAACGCCCAAUGGUUUUCCGGCUAGCUCCAUGAAGCGGUGGGCUAGACAAUCUUGGUCCGAAGCUUCACUACUUCUAAUUACUACAUUUGAUAUUAGAUUCUUUUCUAAUAUUCGUGUUUUUUUUUCUUGUGCUUGGGAUUACAUUAAAAACCGAGUCAUUGUGGAUUAAUUUAAAACGGUGGCGUCGCCGGGGAGGGGGGUCUUGGCGAUGGACGAGUCGAACGCGACGUGCGGGAAGAGGCUGGCGUCGAUCGGAACAGGCAGGAGUACAGGACGCUGCUGGUGACGGCGCCGGGGCUGGGGCAGUACAUCUCGGGGGCCAUCCUGUUCGAGGAGACCCUGUACCAGUCCACCGUCGACGGCCGGAGGAUCGUCGACGUCCUCGCCGAGCAAGGGAUCGUGCCCGGGAUCAAGGUCGACAAGGGCCUCGUCCCGCUGGCAGGUCCGAUCCCGAGUCUUUGGUGCCAGGGGCUUGACGGCCUCUCGACACGCGAGGCCGCCUACUACCAGCAGGGUGCCCGCUUCGCCGAGUGGCGCACCGUCGUCUCCAUCCCCAAUGCCGGCCCCUCCGCCCUCGCCCCGGAGAUCCUGCUCGACGGCGAGCACAGGGUCGAGAGGACGUUCGAGGUGGCGCAGAAGGUGUGGGCGGACACCUUCUUCCACAUGUCGGAGAACAACGUGAUGCUCGAGGGGAUCCUCCUCAAGCCGAGCAUGGUGACCCCGGGCGCCGAGAGCAAGGACGGCGCGGCGACGCCGGAGCAGGUCGCCGCCGCGUCCCGCCGGCGGUGCCCGGCGUCAUGUUCCUCUCCGGCGGCCAGUCGGAGGUGGAGGCGACGCGGAAACCUCAACGCCAUGAACCAGGCGGCUCCGUCGGCCAACCCGUGGCGGUGGCGCGUCUCCUUCUCCUACGCCAGGGCGCUGCAGAACACCUGCCUCAAGACGUGGGGCGGCCGGCGGGAGAACGUCGCGGCGGCGCAGGGCGAACUCGCUGGCGCAGCUCGGCAAGUACACCAGCGACGGCGAGGCCGCCGAGGCCAGCGAGGGCAUGUUCGUCAAGAACUACACCUACUGAAAAUAAUUUUCGACUGAAAAACUCUGAACAUACAUAUAUAUUAGUAAGUACAUUGCGAGAAUUAGGAUCACAAGAAGCUUCUCUGAAAACUCUGAACAUGUAUAUAUUAGCACAUCGAGAGAAUGCAUCAUGGUUACUGUAUUUUACAAGGUUUUCUAGAUCACAAGAAGCUUAUCUGAAAACUCCGAAGAUAGAUGCUGCCAAUCUGCUUAGACAUAUGGACAUCGAGAGGAUGCAUCAUGGUUGCUGUAUUUUACAAGGUUUUUCUAGAUCUUUGUUUUUUUGGUUUCAUUAGAUGCUUGGCUCCUCCCAUCUGUACAAGGAUGCUUUGGUAGAUUUGUCGUAAGGUUUUGUAAUGAUCUACGGAUUUGCAUGGUUGCUGCAAAAUUUUGCAUGUAUAUAUACACGACGCUUGAACGUCGAUAUGUAAUAAUAAUGGCUAAUUUUUAAUGAUAUAUCGACUAUGGAGU